CACAUUUCUUCAGAGCAACAACAUAAUUUGGCAUGACUUCGAACCAAUAUCUCAUCACAACAAUAUCAAGUAUAUCACAGUAACAACAUGAUUUCUCAUAACAGCAUGACUUGGAAUAAAAAAUAUCUCAUCCAUGAUCUUUCACAGCAACACCAUAAUUUUGCAACAAACAUAAUGGAACACAUGACUUGUGCAAUAGCUCACAAUCAGUUAUAUUAUUACAGCCCAAGCAACGUUGAGAAUAAUGUUGUCAUGCAGAAGAAUUGCUCUUAAUGAUGUCAUCAUCAUCCAGUUUUUGAACGACCAAAAGUUUGUCCAGAUUGUUUAAUCUUGCUUCUCUGGUUGCCUGGGAACCUGAUUAUUAAACAAAAGCAAAAUGAGAGUGACAAAGCUUAAAUAGGCCAACCUAUGUUCUAGUACUCCAGGUCUUAUGAGAGUGACAACACAAAAGCAAAAGUUUGUAGGCAAAAUUAUGUAUGCUAAGCUACAGAAUGGUCAUCAUCAUAACUUAUGAAGAGUUGAGGUUUCAACGCUCGAGAACAAGCCCAUUAUAUGAAAAAAUAAUAAGCCACCACGCUUAACAGCAGCCAUGCUCCGAGCACCGCCACGCAGAUGCAGCAAUGAUGGACAAGCAUCGCUGCUGAACAUUCAAAAAAGGCCGAAAUUUUGGACCGGUUAGUACUAAUACCGGGCCCACGAGCAGUGCGAAUUUCAGCCGAAAUUCCUUUUUUUGGGACGAAAGCCAAAUCCCUGUACUACACAAGUACAGAAAAAAAAGGUUAAGCUUGUGUGACUGCUUCCAUGCUUGCUACUGCACUAUUUGAAAUCAUGUCAAAUUCCUCCAGCCCCUGCACUUUGAAAGAUCUGCAUCUUUAUUAUAUGCAAAACUGCUUGUAAUUUGGUCAUGAGAGUACAUGUGAACCAAAAAAAGAGUAGUUUAAUUCAUAUUAAUGCUGCACCUUGUGCAUGGGUAAGCAUUUGAUUUUAAAAGUGCACAUUCAUUCAGAAAGGCACAUCCACACCAUUAUCCAUUCACUCAAUCAGAAAGAAAGAAACAGGGUCUGAAGAAGAAUGAAUCCCUUCUCCAUUAAUUUUAUUCACACGUGAUUGACAAAUUCAGGUCAUGGUAACCCAUGAAUUGAAGACAAUUAGACAUACAGUCACUAGAUAUAUAUACACAGGGACACGACCAAUUAACAAGAGAAAGAAUUUUCGACAAAUACUGAACCUGCUACCCUUUAUCUUAAUGAGGUCAGUAGAGCACCUGCUGCCUUUGUCCUGAAAACAGAGUAAACAAACUAGUUGAAAAAGGUCAUCUUAUCACCAUAAAAAUCAGUAUGGUUACAGGCUAGCACCCUCGGAUGCUCCAUAACAGUACUAACUAACAAUGGAUCGGCAGAAGGACAGUAACAAGUAUUAGGAAGCAGGAUGCUAAAUCGCCGGCUUCAACACUAUAUACCAAGACCCCAGAUCACAUAUAUGAAUAAUUAACAGAGAUCGAACCCUGCGACAAACUACAAAGAUCGCACUGAUGUCGGUCAACAUGAAAGCUUAUCACCAUUGCUCGAAAUGAAGUCUUGUAACUGUAAGAAGCAAACUAACUUUCUUAGUCUGAAGCAACGUUUCUUCAGACUCCGGGUUCCUAAACUUCCAUUCAGAAGAAAAUUGGAUCUCAACAAUCCUAACCGAACUUUCUUUUAUCUUUUUUCAGGAAACCCAAAGGAGCACAGGCCCCGAAUUUCGUUUUCAUGAGUGGAACUGACAACACAACAUUCUAACUGAACUAUGCAUUCUCCGAAGCUGCAGCGACCCGCCGCAUCCCCCAGACCAACACCGACCCGUCGAAGAACCCCGACGGCCGACGCGCUGCUGGAGAAGAUCGCCAAGCUGGACCUGCUGACCGAGAUCAGCGCCGUCAGGAGCAGGUCCGACCUCAACUUCAGAGGCAACGUCAGGGACGUGGUGUCCCUCUCCCGGACCCCUGCGCCCACAACUACGGCGCCGAGCCCUACAUCGUCGCCCACAACUUGGUGACGGCCGGCACCUCAGGAGGAAGAGGCAGCAGCCAUGGCCGCAGGGCCGGUCCUGAAAUUUCAGGGGCCCGGGGCGAAACAAAAACUCGGGGCCCCCUGAUAUAAACGUCAUAAUAAUAAUAAGCAAAAUCUAUGGAUACAUUCUUACCGGUAAUUUUUUUUAUCACUGAUGUAUACACUAUUUUCCCGCAGAAAAAUGUAUAUAUUGUUAUUGUCGAUGUUGAUGUCAAUAUUUCCUUGUUGUUAAGAUUCAGAAUUCCCAUUAUUAGUUGGUUCCGCUUCCUUCAUUUGGGUUCGUCGAAGCACCAAUAAGGCAAAUGAUCCAAUAUUACUUUUGAAAAUAGAAAUCAAUAGCUCCUCUCUGUGAUUCUACCACCACACGUUGUUCCUUUUCCUUUAUUUUUUCUACCAGAAGCAUACUUUGUAGACCACAUGAUAACAAAGGGCUAGCAUACUUGUUUUAAGAAAAGGGAUAGGGUUUUUAUUUUAUUUUGCAUCAAAAGGUUGAACAGUGUAAGGUAUGCAUCAUGUAAAUUGGAGUGUUUAAUUAACAGUAUGCAUAUAGGAAAAUGGUUACGUGAAACGUGAUAUACCUCAUAUCUGUCAGAUCGGCGUCGACGAACUCUCGGUGCGGCAAUGGUGCGAUGCGUACUGGCGUCUGCGGGACGCACUCAACGAUGUCCAUGUGCUUGAGCGCCUAGGGACAGAGGAGCGUAGUUUGUCGGCGUACUGCGGCAGUCAUGGCCCUGGUUGAAACCGUCCAGCACCGGCGAGGCUGCAACUAACGAUCGGAGCUCAGCCGAAUUUACUAGCGUAGUGGGGAAUUAGGGAUCGUAGCAAAGAACAAGAUAUGCGACUCGUGAUGGAAAGAAAACAAAAACAAAACUGGCAACUCGCAAUUCUCCCGUAGUAGGAACCGGGAUUCUCGCGAUUGUGGGAUACCUAAGCACGCAACGUGCCUGUUAGCUGAAUGUUUUGCAUAGACAAAAUCAAUGCUGAUGGCCUGUUACCGGAGGCUGCGUACCGUGCCAUGGCAUGGGCUAGCUGCAUACGGCAUACCUGGCGGGGCCCCUAGAUUGCGGGGGCCCGGGGCGGCCGACCCCCCUGCCCCCCCUCAGGGCCGGCCCUGCAUGGCCGAUGGCAAACCGUAGACGACGAGGGGAAAGGAGGGGAGGCGAGGACAUACCACCGGAGAGAAGUCCAAUACGCCGGACGAGGUACGCCGGCGUCGAGGCGUCGGGCGGCGGUGUCUUGGGGAGGCACUGGAUGGCGGAGAGAGGAGUGGGGCGGCGGCGUCUUCACGAGUCGAGCGGCGGCGUCUCCAAAUCCUCGAGGCCUCGCGAGGUUAAUCCUCCGAAAACCCCUUCAACCCACGCCAAA
rnacentral:lncRNA from 1 species